rnacentral:tRNA from 1 species
GGUGGCUCAGUGGCAGAGCACUUGCCUUGCACGCAUGAGGCUCUGUGUUCAAUUCCACAGCACCA